GCAAACUUGGUCAUUUAGAGGAAGUAAAAGUCGUAACAAGGUUUCCGUAGGUGAACCUGCGGAAGGAUCAUUAUUGAAUAUUCUUGACGGGUUGUAGCUGGCCCUUUGGGGCAUGUGCACGCCUGUCUUGUUAUUCAUCCACCUGUGCACCUUUUGUAGUCUUGUGGGCUGAGAGCAGUCAACUAUCGGUCAAUGUCCGGAUGUGAGGAAUGCUGAGCGCGAAAGCAUACAGCUCUUCUCAAAUGACUUGCAAUACCUCUCCUUCAAGUGCUAUAUAUUCAUAUACCACUAGUAUGUUGCAGAAUGUGAUCAAAGGGCUUAUAUGCCUAUAAUAAUCAUAUACAACUUUCAGCAACGGAUCUCUUGGCUCUCGCAUCGAUGAAGAACGCAGC
rnacentral:misc_RNA from 1 species